CCUACGGGUGGCUGCAGUGAGGAAUAUUGGUCAAUGGGCUAGGGCCUGAACCAGCCAAGUCGCGUGAGGGACGACGGCCCUACGGAUUGUAAACCUCUUUUGCCGGGGAGCAACCAGCCGCCCGCUUGCCGUCCUGAGAGUACCCGGAGAAAAAGCAUCGGCUAACUCCGUGCCAGCAGCCGCGGUAAUCCGGAGGAUGCGGGCGUUAUCCGGUUUUAUUGGGUUUAAAGGGUGCGUAGGCGGAAUGCUAAGUCAGCGGUAAAAUACGGGGGCUCAACCUGCGUGCGCCGUUGAAACUGGUGGUCUGGAGUGGGCGAGAAGUAAGCGGAAUGCGUGGUGGAGCGGUGAAAUGCAUAGAUAUCACGCAGAACCCCGAUUGCGAAGGCAGCGUACCGGCGCCCAACUGACGCUGAAGCACGAAAGCGUGGGUAUCGAACAGGAUUAGAUACCCGAGUAGUC
rnacentral:rRNA from 1 species